rnacentral:rRNA from 1 species
GAUGAACGCUGGCGGCGUGCCUAAUACAUGCAAGUCGAGCGAACAGAUAAGGAGCUUGCUCCUUUGAAGUUAGCGGCGGACGGGUGGGUAACACGUGGGUAACCUACCUAUAAGACUGGGAUAACUUCGGGAAACCGGAGCUAAUACCGGAUAACAUUUAGAACCGCAUGGUUCUAAAGUGAAAGAUGGUUUUGCUAUCACUUAUAGAUGGACCUGCGCCGUAUUAGCUAGUUGGUAAGGUAACGGCUUACCAAGGCGACGAUACGUAGCCGACCUGAGAGGGUGAUCGGCCACACUGGAACUGAGACACGGUCCAGACUCCUACGGGAGGCAGCAGUAGGGAAUCUUCCGCAAUGGGCGAAAGCCUGACGGAGCAACGUCGCGUGAGUGAUGAAGGGUUUCGGCUCGUAAAACUCUGUUAUUAGGGAAGAACAAAUGUGUAAGUAACUGUGCGCAUCUUGACGGUACCUAAUCGGAAAGCCACGGCUAACUACGUGCCAGCCGCCGCCGUAA